AACGAACGCUGGCGGCGUGCCUAACACAUGCAAGUCGAGCGCGAAAGGAGCAAUCCGAGUAGAGCGGCGCACGGGUGCGUAACACGUGGAUAAUCUGCCUCAGGGUUGAGGAUAACCUUCCGAAAGGUUGGCUAAUACUCGGUAAGCUUACGGUGACUUCGGUCGCUGUGAGAAAACUAGACCUCUAUUUAUAAGUUUAGGCCCAGAGAUGAGUCCGCGGCCCAUCAGCUAGUUGGCGGGGUAACGGCCCACCAAGGCUACGACGGGUAGCUGGUCUGAGAGGACGAUCAGCCACACUGGAACUGAGACACGGUCCAGACUCCUACGGGAGGCAGCAGUGGGGAAUUUUCCACAAUGGGCGAAAGCCUGAUGGAGCAACGCCGCGUGUGUGAUGAAGGUCUUCGGAUCGUAAAGCACUUUCGACUGGGACGAAAAACCUUUGGCUAACAUCCAGGGGCCUGACGGUACCAGGAGAAGAAGCACCGGCUAACUCUGUGCCAGCCGCCGCGGUAAUAC
rnacentral:rRNA from 1 species